AGAGCACAUCCGGUGUUAGAAGCGCUGGUAGGCCUUGGAGAGGCGGGUUAGGAAGAGACAGGGUUUCGCCGUGUUGGCCAGACUGGUCUCGAACUCCUGACGUCAAAGUGAUCCACCUGCCUCGGCCUCCCAAAGUACUGGGAUUACAGGCGUGAGCCACUGUGCCCAACCUGUAAGUCAUUUUUGAGUCAACGAUAUUUUUAAUUUACAAUGGGUGUAUCCAGAUGUAAGCCAUCGCAAAUCAAGGAGUGUACCGAAUGAGUAUCAAUUUCUCCCAGUGAUAGGUCAACCCUGAGUGGAGACUGCUGCACGGACUCUGGAACCAUGAACAUAUUUGAUCGAAAGAUCAACUUUGAUGCGCUUUUAAAAUUUU
rnacentral:lncRNA from 10 species